CCUACGGGAGGCAGCAGUGGGGGAUAUUGCACAAUGGGGGAAACCCUGAUGCAGCGACGCCGCGUGGGUGAAGAAGCGCCUCGGCGCGUAAAGCCCUGUCAGCAGGGAAGAAAAUGACGGUACCUGAAGAAGAAGCCCCGGCUAACUACGUGCCAGCAGCCGCGGUAAUACGUAGGGGGCAAGCGUUAUCCGGAUUUACUGGGGGUAAAGGGGGCGCAGGCGGCGAUACAAGCCAGGAGUGAAAGCCCGGGGCCUAACCCCGGGACUGCUCUUGGAACUGCGUGGCUAGAGUGCAGGGGGGGCAGGCGGAAAUCCUGGGGGAGCGGGGAAAAGCGGAG
rnacentral:rRNA from 1 species